AUACGUAGGUGGCAAGCGUUGUCCGGAUUUACUGGGUGUAAAGGGCGUGCAGCCGGGAAGGCAAGUCAGAUGUGAAAUCUAUGGGCUUAACCCAUAACGUGCAUUUGAAACUGACGGUCUUGAGUGAUGGAGAGGCAGGCGGAAUUCCUAGUGUAGCGGUGAAAUGCGUAGAUAUUAGGAGGAACACCAGUGGCGAAGGCGGCCUGCUGGACAUUAACUGACGCUGAGGCGCGAAAGCGUGGGGAGC
rnacentral:rRNA from 1 species